rnacentral:misc_RNA from 1 species
GGUCGUAUAAACAUCCGACCCGCAAUGGCGGACUUGUUCGCACGGUAUCGCGAGUUCGUGAAAGCGAAUCCCGCUCUAGCCUCCGAACUCGAGACCGUACUUCGCUGGAUCUCUUACUUCACGGCGGGUCGCUUUGGCAAGUCAGCUGUGGUUGCUGAGUUCCUUUACUCCUCAUCCAGCUUGCUGACCCUACUCAAUGACCUCAUCCUACGACAUGCUGCCAACGUUCCCGUGCAUGUGGAUCGAGCUGUUGAACGGCUCCAAUCCUGCCUGGCUGUCGUCGAGUACGUCGAAGUGUUUGCCGAGCUGGCUGCCCUGCACCUGCGUGGGGACCUGGCUCGAUGGGUGGCGGUCGCCAUCGUCCAGACGCUCAAGGCAUGCCUUCGACUGGUGCUCCUUUUGUACCACAAGCAGGGGCUCCAGUGCAGCCCCAGUGUCGCUCCAUUCGACCGGAAACUUGCUCAAGGUGGCCCAGCUGCCACCCAGCCUUGCUACGAACUUCGACACAGUGGACGGCCACUGCGUACCUUAGCAGCAGCACCACCUAUGUCGAGGAGACAGUGGCGCCCCCCCUCAGCACCCCAGGGCACAUCUGGGACCAACGGCAGCCUAAAGCGCCUGCAAGGUGUCGAGCUGGCUGCAGAGGUGGCGCAUGUCGUGAGGCCGCUUGCACACUUAUCAGCUGUGGGUCUGUGUGGCCGCUCCUCUUGGACCCCAUGGUUGAUGGCGGCUGGUCUAGAUGUGGCUAGUUUGCAGGUUCUGUCGCGGACGCGUGCUUCCCUGCAGCCACGUGAGCGGCUGGAGUUGAGUCGUCGUCUUCUGCAGCUGACGCUCUAUGUAGUGCGAUCCCCAUUCUACGAGCGCAUCUCCCAACGCCGAAUAUUCUUGGCCCUCCAAGCACUCGGUGACUCCGUGCCCCUCCUUGGCUGGAUCACCAGGCCACUGGCUGACUACAUUCCGGAGUGGCAGAACACCUACUGCCACAAUUGGGCCUCCUAGGGCACUACCCUUGGACAUGCCUGACCUAACAAGAUAAGCAGCCUUGCCCAACAAGGCAGCCACUUACACUACUGUAUAUCGUUCUGUGAACGGAACUAUUGUAGGCUCACUGCAAGUGUAGCCCCACGUUCUAUCUGGUUUGCCUUCACGGAGCCACACGCUACAGCUUGGUGACAUGGUGAAGGAACAGCCAUUACCAGGGAUGUUUCAUUUGUGCUCGAGAUGACACAGCAGUUAUGUACUCCGCCGUUAGUAUUAGAUAGCAAUGUAUUUGAGCGACAUUUAUGAAGAUAACAAGUAUUAGAUAGCAAUGUAUUUGAGUGACUUAGCUGCACAAGACGUCGUAAUUUACGCCAUUGCGCGUGGUGCCGAAUGUAAUUGUGCCAGACGAUUUGUUUUUGAUGCAUUCAAUAUGAUGUUCAGUGAUGGUCCUUCAUGCUGCUAAUUUUAUUCGAAUUCUUUUCACGUCCAUGGGUUGAUUGCAGAUAGGCAGCACAACAAUGCCAGCAUGGUGCGUGCAGGACUGUGCGAAAUAUGACGAUGAGAGUGGUAACACUAUGGUGCCAUCUCUAUAGUGGUGCCAGCUUAGUUGUAUCGCCUGGUUAGUGAUGUCAGUAUGGUGUAGCAUAUGUUUUCUGAGCUCUUUGACUGCUGGUGUGCGCAUAGAUUUUUCAUUCAAACGAUUGUCGUUCUCUCUGCCAGCCUUUUUGACUGCAGGGCCAGCCACCAGCUGCUCCUAUUAAACAACUUCCACAAACCAGUUGUUUCGCAUCGUGAACUUGGGCUGUGAACUAGUAAGAAUCCUGUAUGAGAAGCAUAUUUGACUUGCGCUUUUAUGGGCAAGUUUGAGGUCUGUGUUUUGUCCUGGUCUGGUAAUUUUUCUGUAUAAAGUGUGAAAAAGCUUUAGCAAUUCUUUAUGCAAUGGCACAAGCUCUUCUAUGCAGAAGAGUCUCACUUGUUCUAUGCUGGAAGGUUAAUUCUCCAAAAGAACAUUUUGUGUGAAUUUAUUUCGGCAUACAAUGCAAUUCGCGUUUUUUUUCGUGUCUGUGUUCUGUCUGCAAAUUUAGGCACAAAGUGCUGUUGCUUUCAUGUUUUUAUUGACUUUAAUAAUACAUUUUGGUGGGACCAAUGAAGUUGGUCAAAUUUGCUUGCAGUUAAAGUGAAGAAAAGGUAGGCAAAAAGGAUUUCGUUGGCAGUGUAUUGCCCAUAUGUAAUAUGUUCCCGAUUCAAUUUCAUACUCUUGUUAUACAAGUUUAGAAGUAUGAAGCUGAUGAGAAAUUGAAUUACGUUAAAGCUCCUCAGCAGAGUUAAAAUAGAAUGCCCUCCCCAAUAUCGCAAAAUGAAAUGCGACCCUCUGGCAAAAAAAAAAAAAGAAGUGAAAUUGGCAGACUUUACCUUAGUGAAACAGAAAUUCGUCGCUUAAGUACUGCUGUCAGUCGGCACACCAUUGCUGUCUAUGGACAAUCACAACAUGUCAGUCAUACAUUCCUGACAUAUUUAAUAUUCAACAUUCGUUGAACAGUUGCAAAACUGAGCAUAGGCUUAUACAUUGACUAACUAUUCUGUUGAAGCUCAUUCUGUGAUGCACGUGAUGCUCAGAAAAGCCAGUGAUGUAUGAUAUAACUUGUGAAAUAACUUAUUUGCGAAUACACUAGCCAUUUGCAUGAAAAGAGCACCACAUGGUCAUUGCCAUGCCAUGCUCAUCUUCAUGCCAUCAGUGGUCAUCAUGUGACACAAUGGCAGUGUCAUUGACAUUGCAUGGCCAGACUGUAUCUGAUAGUAGGACGGUACAAACUCAUUUUUUUAAUGCAAAGCAGCUCUUUGACUAGCCCGUGUAACGCUGUUUCUCCGUCUGCACUGCGCUCCCCAGGCUGCAGGUGUUGUGGCGGUGCCAAGUAGGUCGCGCCUUUCCUCGCAGUGCGCGGGCGUUGACGUCACUCUCUCCUUGGCCUAUCGCCGCUCGCUGUGUGUCAUCACUCUCGCUUCACCCUCUCCACCGCUUGCAACGUUCGAGGACACAUCGAGUAGAAACACUCUUUUGGCUCGAUUACCUACCAUAAAACACGAAACCCAACCCGCCUCUCGUGCCUUUGCGUUUCAAAGAAAUGUUUACUCGAAAAAAGGUUACACCGAGUCUCGCUUUAAACCGUUCUUCCAGCUCCUGCGUCCACGUUCAUUUCAACCGGGUCAGCGACGUGCGCACUGCUGCUGCUUCGCAUCCCCUUAUGGUUCUCUUCUGGGAGAUGGCCCAUACAUUUUGCAUAUCUCAUUUCACUGUGCCAGGCAUUUCGAGACAAAGAUGAUCGUACAUUACCAUAAAAUUGCUUUAAAUAAUGCAAAUCUGCUAUACUUGUCAUUUUGUUGCUUCUGGAUUUCUUGCUUGGUCAUCUUGAAUUUGCUUUGUAGGUUGUCAUUUUUGAGACCCCUAUAAUUUUUAUCUAUGUGAGUUCAUAAUGGGCCCAAUGCGAUGUAUGCUUCAAGAAUGAGUGUAUAGAUGUUUUACUAAAUAAACUGGCAAAUAAAAAAGUUUGUCACUUUAUUACGCA